rnacentral:rRNA from 1 species
CACGGGGGGAGCAAGCGUUGUUCGGAAUCACUGGGCGUAAAGGGCGUGUAGGCGGUCAGGUAAGUGGAAUGUGAAAUCCCUCGGCUCACCCGAGGACCUGCAUCCCAAACUGCCUGGCUUGAGUAUGGGAGAGGAUGAGGGAAUUCCUGGUGUAGCGGUGAAAUGCGUAGAUAUCAGGAGGAACACCGGUGGCGAAGGUGCUCAUCUGGCCCAAUACUGACGCUGAAGCGCGAAAGCUAGGGGAGCAAACGGG